rnacentral:rRNA from 1 species
GACAGAGGAUGCAAACGUUGCUCGGAUUUACUGGGCGUAAAGCGCGCGCAGGCGGUUCUGUAAGUCGGACGUGAAAGCCCGGGGCUCAACCUCGGAAGUGCGUCUGAUACUGCAGGACUGGAGUACUGGAGAGGAGAGUGGAAUUCCUGGUGUAGCGGUGAAAUGCGCAGAUAUCAGGAAGAACACCCGUGGCGAAGGCGGCUCUCUGGGACGGUACUGACGCUGAGACGCGAAAGCGUGGGGAGCGAACAGG